rnacentral:lncRNA from 1 species
GGUGCCGGCAAGAGAGUAGUUCAUGUAGUUCAUUGACAGUCAGAUCCAGUCUGGGAAGGGAAGGGAUUGAAGUCAGAAAAGAACUGACAACAGGAAAGGGAGGCCAGAGGACUGGGUGAUGUCAAGGAGCAUAUUUUAUGGGGACAAGCAGAUUUAAUGGCACUAUAUGAGGGAGAACGCUGGAAACGAAAGCUAAGGCUUUGGAAGUGAAAUGGCUCCAGGUGAUGAUAAAGUCUAGGAUGUGGCCCAGGAGUGGACAGCUGAGAGUAACUAAAGGUAAUAGGGGACCAUGUUGAGCAGGCCAGGUAGUCCAUGGGCCAUCCACAAGAGGGAGGGGAAAGGCUCCCUGUGGGUCUGAGAGUCAGGCUACUUUCCCUGUACCAACCUCCUGAAUCUUCUGCCAUCUGCACUCUACUCACUCUCCCCCACAGUCCUGAGCAAUUUCAAUCACUCUGCUGACAGUAGCUAAGGUCCAUUUGCCAAUGACUUCUGAAUCCCCACAGCUCCAGAGCUUCAACUGGCUUCGCCUUAGCUGGUAGUGCCUCAGACCAGCUCAGUCAAGAAAGGCAAGAACUGAGCUCCUCGCCUCUUCUGCCCCAAUCCUGUGUCCACUGUGUUAAAGGACCACACAAUUUCUAACCCCCAUCCCCAAAGCCAGAGUCAGGGCAUCGUUUGUAGAUUCUUGCUUUUCCUUAUUCCUUAGACCCUAGUGAUCCCAUUACUUAAGCCUCUUUCACAUUUGUACUUAAUUUCCAUUCCAUAUCCAUUGUCCAUAGCCAGACUCAAUGAGAGGGUCUCACCUUCUAGCGAGCACCUUGGAAAUUGUAGGGACAUUUGUUGCCUUGUCUGAUAAUUGCCUAUGAGGAAUAAAAUUACUUCUGGGUCUCUUGGAGAUAUUCAGAUGAUCCUUCUCACUUAUUGAAGCAAAAUGUAGCUCAUUUUAACUAAGC